GCGACAGCAAGGAUGAGGAGAGUAAGUUUCUCAUUUUCAUAUUAGAGAGAACCACCUUGGCUGAAAGUGGUUUAUGAAAAAGGAAACUGAAGUGCACCUCGGAGCCUUUUAUCGAACCAAUAGUAGAUAAAAGCGGCCCUCCACGUUACGGAGUACAAGGGAAGAGCAAAAAUACUGAAUUUCCUCGUUGUUUUCGUAUUUUUGUUGUUAAACAGAGUGGAACCGCGCCAAAAGCGUCUCUGUG
rnacentral:ncRNA from 1 species